rnacentral:rRNA from 1 species
CACUAUGCCUAGCCCUAAACUUAGAUAGAACUCUACUUAUUCUAUCCGCCCGGGAACUACGAGCACCAGCUUAAAACCCAAAGGACUUGGCGGCGCUUCACACCCACCUAGAGGAGCCUGUUCUAGAACCGAUACCCCCCGUUCAACCUCACCUUCCCUUGUUUUUUCCGCCUAUAUACCGCCGUCCCCAGCACACCCUAUGAAGGCCCAGCAGUGAGCUAAACUGGUAAAGCCUAGUAAGUCAGGCCGUGGUGUAGCGUAUGAGAAGGAAAGUAAUGGGCUACAAUUGCUGAAACAGCUAAUACGGACUGCCCCGCUGAAACCGCACACAUGAAGGAGGAUUUAGAAGUAAGGGGCAAAUAGAGUGUCCCCCUGAAAUGGUUCUGAAGCGUGCACACACCGCCCGUCACUCUCCCCAAGUUAAAUGACUUCCAAUAACUAAAAAAUCAAACCUACAAAGGGGAGGCAAGUCGUAA